AUCCAACUGACUAGUCCCAAAUAGGACGAAAUGCGCAUCCUGGAU
rnacentral:hammerhead_ribozyme from 1 species